CCCUUAGAUGUUCUGGGCCGCACGCGCGCUACACUGAAGGAAUCAGCGUGGCUUUCUCCCUGACCCGAAAGGGUUGGGAAACCCGUUGAAUCUCCUUCGUGAUAGGGAUUGGGGCUUGAAAUUGUUCCCCAUGAACGAGGAAUUCCCAGUAAGCGCGAGUCAUAAGCUCGCGUUGAUUACGUCCCUGCCCUUUGUACACACCGCCCGUCGCUACUACCGAUUGAACGGUUUAGUGAGGGCCUCGGAUUGGUCUCGGCCCGCUCUUUACCGGGCGGCGCCGUUGGUCGAGAAGACGCUCGAACUUGAUCGUUUAGAGGAAGUAAAAGGCGUAACA
rnacentral:rRNA from 1 species